rnacentral:rRNA from 1 species
ACGGGGGAGGCGAGCGUUGUCCGGAAUCACUAGGCGUAAAGGGCCCGUAGGCGGAUCGCUAAGUCGGAUGUCAAAGACGUCGGCUCAACCGGCGGAAGGCGUUCGAUACUAGUGGUCUAGAGUAAGGUAGAGGAAGACGGAAUUCCUGGUGUAGCGGUGAAAUGCGCAGAUAUCAGGAAGAACACCAGUGGCGAAGGCGGUCUUCUGGGCCAUUACUGACGCUAAAUGGCGAAGGUGAGGGUAUCAAACAG